GUGUCAGCAGCCGCGGUAAUACAGAGGGUGCGAGCGUUAAUCGGAUUUACUGGGCGUAAAGCGUGCGUAGGCGGUUUAUUAAGUCGGAUGUGAAAUCCCCGAGCUCAACUUGGGAAUUGCAUUCGAUACUGGUGAGCUAGAGUAUGGGAGAGGAUGGUAGAAUUCCAGGUGUAGCGGUGAAAUGCGUAGAGAUCUGGAGGAAUACCGGUGGCGAAGGCAGCCAUCUGGCCUAAUACUGACGCUGAGGUGCGAAAGCGUGGGGAGCAAACAGGAUUAGAUACCCGCGUAGUCC
rnacentral:rRNA from 1 species